rnacentral:rRNA from 1 species
AUUGAACGCUGGCGGCAGGCCUAACACAUGCAAGUCGAGCGGAGUGGCGGACGGGUGAGUAAUGCCUAGGAAUCUCCCUGGUAGUUGGGGAUAACGUCCGGAAACGGGCCCUAAUACCGCAUACUAUCAGAUGAGCCUAGGUCGGAUUAGCUCGUUGGUCGGGUAAAGGCCUACCAAGGCGACUAUCCGUAACUGGUCUGAGAGGAUGAUCAGUCAAACUGGAACUGAGACACGGUCCAGACUCCUACGGGAGGCAGCAGUGGGGAAUAUUAGACAAUGGGCGAAAGCCUGAUCCAGCCAUGCCGCGUGUGUGAAGAAGGUCUUCGGAUUGUAAAGCACUUUAAGUUGGGAGGCGUUACCAACAGAAUAAGCACCGGCUAACUUCGUGCCAGCAGCCGCGGUAAUUC